CCCUUAGGUGUUCUGGGCCGCACGCGCGCUACACUGACGAAUGCAACGAGCUUAUAACCUUGGCCGAAAGGUCUGGGUAAUCUCCAAAUUUCGUCGUGAUGGGGAUAGAUUAUUGCAAUUAUUAAUCUUCAACGAGGAAUGCCUAGUAAGCGCAAGUCAUCAGCUUGCGUUGAUUACGUCCCUGCCCUUUGUACACACCGCCCGUCGCUCCUACCGAUUGAAUGGUCCGGUGAAGCGUUCGGACCGUGGCCUUUGGACGGUUCGCCGUCUGUUGGCUGCGGGAAGUUCGUUAAACCUUAUCAUUUAGAGGAAGGAGAANUCGUANCA
rnacentral:rRNA from 1 species